rnacentral:lncRNA from 1 species
AUGAUAAAACCGGCUCUGCCAAGACCUCCAUCCAAAGUUGGCUGGCGGCUCCCCUGCACUGUGAACCAGAGCUGCCGGGCGGGCGAGGUCACAGCCAGUUAUUAUCCCCUCCCACGCUGCUUAUCAAGCUUGGCCCUUUUCUCCUCCAGUGUGAAUGCUUGGGGCUCUUCGCUAUGCAAUGAAAAUAAACAGCAAUGUAAAUGGUCUCCUGGCUACUUGAUCCAAACCAAUACGGAAAACCUGCUUUACAAGCUUCCACUGAAACUUCUGGUAGAAUAAGCAACUGAUAGAUAAUUCUACACCAAAUGUCUGGCAUUUAGCCAGAACCAACAACUGUUCCCUUUUUUUGUAAGCCACAUUCUGGUGACCAUGGAAAGCCAAAAUAGUUAUUUUGAUUCUAGAGCAUUUUCUAAAGGAAGGUGAAAUCACAGUGCCAUUAUGCAAACUAACCAUAGGUUCAGGAUGAGGGAAAAAUUAGCGUAAAGACUUUAUCUUACUCCUAAAAAUCUCAAAUUAAAAAUUUUUAACUUGAAAGAAAUUGGUAGACUGCCAAUAAAAAUUUUUUUUAAAAACAGAGCUCACCA